rnacentral:rRNA from 1 species
CCUACGGGAGGUAGCAGUCGAGAAUCAUUCACAAUGGGGGCAACCCUGAUGGUGCGACGCCGCGUGGGGGAAUGAAGGUCUUCGGAUUGUAAACCCCUGUCAUGUGGGAGCAAAUUAAAAAGAUAGUACCACAAGAGGAAGAGACGGCUAAUUCAGUGCCAGCAGCCGCGGUAAUACAGAGGUGUCAAGCGUUGUGCGGAAUCACUGGGCGUAAAGCGUGCGUAGGCUGUUGCGUAAGUCGGGUGUGAAAGGCCCGGGCUCAACCCCCGGACGGCACAUGAUACUGCGAGGCUAGAGUAUAGGAGUGGGAGCCGGAAUGCACGGUGUAGCAGUGAAAUGCGUAGAUAUC